rnacentral:tRNA from 1 species
GCCCAGGUGGCGGAAUUGGCAGACGCACCAGCUUGAGGGGCUGGCGCCCGUCAAGGGCAUGGAGGUUCAAGUCCUCUCCUGGGCACCA